UACAGAGGUCUCAAGCGUUGUUCGGAUUCAUUGGGCGUAAAGGGUGCGUAGGCGGCGCGGUAAGUCGGGUGUGAAAUCUCGGAGCUUAACUCCGAAACUGCAUUCGAUACUGCGUGCUUGAGGACUGGAGAGGAGACUGGAAUUUAUGGUGUAGCAGUGAAAUGCGUAGAGAUCAUGAGGAAGACCAGUGGCGAAGGCGGGUCUCUGGACAGUUCCUGACACUGAGACACGAAGGCCAGGGGAGCAAACGGG
rnacentral:rRNA from 1 species